AACGCUAAUUUUCAGAAUACAUCGAUUUCCUAAUUCCUUUUUUUUUUUUUAUAUUUUCGAGAUAAUUCACUGCUAACUGAUUUGAAAAAAAAUGUUUGUAUCUGAAAUUUACUCUACAUUGCAUAUAUCUUCAAAUUUUGAAAAUAUGUAAGAAAAAAAGAAUAAUAACAGAAUUUGAUCUUUGACCUUAUUUUAUGAAAAACUGUUACCACAUUUCGUUUUGACGACAUCGAAAUUUCAAAAGUACUCAUUUUUCCGAAUCCAAUGAUAUAUAAUAUAACCAUAUAGUAUGUUUGACGAUUAAAUCUUCAAAAUAUUGUGUCUGGUCACCGUACUAAUAAUAUAAAUGUGAACUACACUAACUUCUCAAAGUAUCAAACCUAGUAGACAUUGAAAACACUUAUAUGACGUCAUAAUAGUAUUAAAUAAACUUAAUGUUACAAGAGCCUUGGUGGACACAGAAGAACAGCACACUUAAAAUACUUCAGCAUAGUUAUAAUUAAAAAAUGUCAUA
rnacentral:lncRNA from 1 species